CUAAAAUUUGCAGAACAAAUUGCAGAGCUUGCCCUUGUUUAAUACACGUAUAGCAUCCAUAUAUCAAGUGAUGAUACACUGAAAUUUUUAAUUCUGUACAUGUUUUGAAACAUUUCCUGCUUAUCAAGAUGCCUUGCCCCUAUAAGGAUAUAUUACAAAUUAUAGUACGCAACUGACAUCUAUGACAAACUACUACGCUGAUUUAAGUGUAAAAACAGUAUGGCCAGAUACUAUAGAGCAUAAUGCAAAGGCUACAAAUGCUAGGUAGGACAAUAUCACUGAUGAUCUUGCCAUUGCCGGGAACUUGUCCUUACCCCAAUUGGACUCCCAUUCCUCAACUCUGAAAGUAGCUGAUGAUGAUGCUGACAAGAGAAGAUAGGUCAAAAUCUGAUCAAGAGAGAAAUCCAGGUAGUACCGGAGCUGAUUAUGGGCAACAAGUUUCCCGGUGGCCAAAGAGUAGGCAAGAUCACAUGCUUGCAGCCCUAAAUACACAAAACCCAUCACAUUCACUGACAUACAGUACCUGAACUCCUUGUAGCGAUGGAAAGAAUCAAGAGCCCAACCUUGAUUCGUAUCAGCAGCCAUAAUCGAGAACGAAGUCAAACAAAAACACCAACCCAAGAAGCCUAAAACCCAGCAAAGCCCUUCCCUUCAUAAUCUUCUCCUUUGUUGAAAAAUUUGCCCCUCUCUUGCCACCGCCUCUGGCAAUACCAUCUUCAACUGAUUUAACAACCUCAUCUUCUUGGGUUUCAGACACAACUUUGGAAACCGGUACUGCAGCUGCUGCCGCCGCGGCCGCCGGGGUUGGAGGAGACAGAGACCUUGCUAGUUUGACAUCUGGCGAUGAUGAGAAUACAU
rnacentral:misc_RNA from 1 species